rnacentral:rRNA from 1 species
AGCUCCAAUAGCGUAUAUUAAAGUUGUUGUGGUUAAAAAGCUCGUAGUUGGAUCUCAGUUCGAGUCAGACUGUCCACUUGCCAGUGGUUACGGUCUGACUGAACACUUUACCGAGUUGUCCUAUGGUCCUCUUAACCGGGUGUCAUAGGCGAUCGGUACGUUUACUUUGAAAAAAUUAGAGUGCUCAAAGCAGGCUCAACAGCCCGAAUAAUGUUGCAUGGAAUAAUGGAAUAGGACCUCGGUUCUAUUUUGUUGGUCUUUUGAAUCUGAGGUAAUGAUUAAGAGGGACAGACGGGGGCAUUCGUAUUGCGGCGCUAGAGGUGAAAUUCUUGGACCGUCGCAAGACGAACUAAAGCGAAAGCAUUUGCCAAGAAUGUUUUCA